CAGUUGAUUAUGCCUUACAUUGGGAGUGGUGCUUUCUCUGGCAUGAAGUGGGUGUUACUGGCAGACUUGUCCUUUGUCUUUUUGCAAGAUAAUUUAUUCAUAUCAUAGGCAUGGAAAAGAGAAAGAUAAAGGGCAGAAAAGGAAUAGGUGGCCCUGCUGGAAAAUAAAUGAGACGAGCAACGUGCAGUAAGGCAAGCAGCACUAAUGCACCCAGCAAAGUCUAGUGCGGAUCGGUUAGGAAGAGAGUCCUCAGGCGGACAUGUCAAUCUAGGGCUUUUGAAAACUGACCCUCUCUGGCCUCCGACACAAAGACAGUCUUGAGACAUGCCCUAGAGUUGGUACCAACAGCCUGGAUUCAAGACACAGCUGCCUCUUCCUGUAACCUCAGGCCCUCCUGAAGUGUCAAGAAUCAAAUUCCACGCCCUUAUUCAGAAGGACUGCAGGAACAAUAAGAGAAACCAUAGUGCCCUCAAUAUAAUUGAAAACAAAAGGAAAUACGAACACAUUCAUGAAUGCCAGUGCCAUGCUCACAGCACCGUGUCCAAGCCACGCGGGAUACAACUAUUUUCCAUCACGGUCUCACCUCUGAAACAGAGCCAGGGUCUCCUUUGCUUUCGCCGGAUGUGGGAGCGACUGUUGAAAGAGCACGAGAGCCGGCAGGGUUCCAGUGAAGUGGAGCAGGAUGCUGGUGGAGAGGUUCUGCAGAUUUGACAGAUUGCUCUUCGGGCGGGACUGGCUGCUGCCAAGAGCAGAGAGAAGAGAGAUGAGGGUGACCUCGCCAUUACGCCCUUGGGAUCCAUCCAGCCUCUGAUGCUGCAGCCUUAGCAGCUGUCAGGCGGCCCUUCC